UUGGAACGACAACCUAGCCACCUAAUGGGUUGCGAAGAGUGGCAGAAGAGUCCCUAAACCUAGCCACCUAAUGGGUUGCGAAGAGUGGCAGGAGAGUCCCUAAACCUAGCCAUCCAAUGGGUUGCAAGGAGUGGCAGUAGAGUCCCUACAGAAGAGAGCCAUGCAGGAUGAGUGGGCAGUGAAGCCUACGGCAUGGGCAAGCAGAGCUUGCAGUUGGAGAAAGUGCUAUGCAAGGCAAGAACCAGGCUAGCACCAAGCGGACCAUUGGGCCGCGACAACGUAAAGAAGGACCUGAGUGCAGGCUUCUUUGCGGAUAGAUGGGCGUUAAAGUCAGGUGGAGGUAAAGCCAUCAGGUGUGUGAGCAGCACGUAUAAACCA
rnacentral:lncRNA from 1 species